CGAAAGGGACUUCGGUCCUGAGUAAAGUGGCGCACGGGUGAGUAACGCGUGGAUAAUCUACCCGAUGGACCGGGAUAACAUUUCGAAAGGGGUGCUAAUACCGGAUAAGACCACGGCUUCUUAGGGGGCUGCGGUAAAAGGUGGGGACCUUCGGGCCUACCGUCAUCGGAUGAGUCCGCGUACCAUUAGCUAGUUGGUGGGGUAAGAGCCUACCAAGGCGACGAUGGUUAGCUGGUCUGAGAGGAUGAUCAGCCACACUGGAACUGAGACACGGUCCAGACUCCUACGGGAGGCAGCAGUGGGGAAUUUUGCGCAAUGGGGGAAACCCUGACGCAGCAACGCCGCGUGAGUGAUGAAGGCCUUCGGGUCGUAAAGCUCUGUCAGGGGGGAAGAAAUGCAUGGGAGCUAAUAUCUUCUAUGCUUGACGGUACCCUCAAAGGAAGCACCGGCUAACUCCGUGCCAGCAGCCGCGGUAAUACGGAGGGUGCGAGCGUUGUUCGGAAUUAUUGGGCGUAAAGCGCGUGUAGGCGGUUUGGUAAGUCUGAUGUGAAAGCCCCGGGCUCAACCUGGGAAGUGCAUUGGAAACUGUCAGACUUGAAUACGGGAGAGGGUAGUGGAAU
rnacentral:rRNA from 1 species